rnacentral:lncRNA from 1 species
GGACACUUGUCACCCUAGGGUUUCAUUUCUUUUUAGGGUGGACCCCACCCAAUUUUAAGACACAUGUCCUAGGGAUUGUUACCUAGGAGCAGCAGCCGUCACUCUCUCUCGGCAGUUUGGUGCAGGACUCUCAUUUUUCAGAGACUCUGGCUGCAACGUUGUGAUUCUCUUCUUGGGGAACAAUGUUUGUCUUCUUGGAUGUUGGUUAAAAAUGAGUAUCCAGCCGCCACAUCACUCUUGCAUUUGAAGUUCUUUGAUUCCAGGACAUUUCAUUUUGCUUUUAAUAGUCACGGUGGCAGAAGUAGCAUCACGGUUCUAGUUGAAAGUGUUGAUUUCAUUUUAAUU